AAAGAAUUUUGCUCAUUUUCGUUAGUAACAGUGAAGUUUUUGUCUUGUUAGUUUCUGCUUGCUUUUGUUUCGUAUUAGUGACAUGCUUGAGCGUUAACACUAGCCAAUCUGGAUUAAUGUAUAAUUAAUUACCAUUGCUUUGGAUCAAUAUCUUUUGCUUCUGGGUUAUUAAUUAUUGUGUUGUACAUGGGUCGUUAUUGAUAAAAAUGGAUGCUUGCUUUGUGAUUGUUG
rnacentral:misc_RNA from 1 species